GUACUUACCUGGCAGGGGAGCUACCAUGAUCACAAAGGUGGUUUUCCCAGGGCGAGGUUUAUCCAUUGCAAUUCAGAUGUGUUGAACCCUGUGAUUUCCCCAAGUGUGGGAAACUCAGCUGCAUACUUUGUGGUAGCAGAGGACUGUGUUUGCGCUCUCUCCUG
ensembl:snRNA U1 U1 spliceosomal RNA